UACUGAAACUUGCCUGGUUUAGCGGAGAGUGUCGAGGUCCAAGCUCCUUCCAGUGUUCUACACUCCGGGGAAGGAUAGUCGGCGAUAGUCCAGCUUAAUCUCCGGCCGCCGGUAUCCUGCAAUUCCGCGAAGUUAUGAUGAAAGUACAGAGGGAAUAAAGAAGUGAAUUGCAAAGAAAGUAACUGAGUUGAUGAGUGAGCAACAGGGCAGAAUGGAGAAUUUUUGCUAUAUAUAGUCAAAGUGCGAGAAUAAGUGAUGUUGGGUGUUUGCUUUUGAAGGUAAGAACUCUUGACAGAAAAAAGCCGGGAUGCCUCUUUCUUUUAGAGUUUAUGAAAAAACGCAUGGAUGUUUCUGAAGCGUCAUGUAACGCCCGGCUCUCUUUUGUUUCCCUGAUAUUAUUCUUUCGUGUCUAUCUUUAGUUCCGGACUGAAUAACUCGGUGUUUAUAGUAGGGUGAUGACGAAAUGUUUUCAAGUGAAAUCGUGCCCCUUUGUGGGGCGUUAUCUUUCUUGGAAGGAAGGAAUGUUACAAUGUUGUAACUUCCUUCCUGCCUGCCUUGUACUGAUGGUGUGAGGGCUGCUAAGUGAAUAUUUUUGGCAGGGCAUGGUUGGAUGCCUUUUUUGGUCAAGCCAUCUUUUGCUUUUCAAGUCAUGUUAUUAUCUUAUGAUAAUUAUCAGAUCAUGUUGCUUUUAAA